rnacentral:rRNA from 1 species
UGGUGGAGCGAUUUGUCUGGUCAAUUCCGAUAACGAACGAGACUCUAGCCUACUAAAUAGUUCGGGGACCCCCACAAAGGGGCCCCGCUUCACUUCUUAGAGGGACAGGUGGCGUUUAGCCACACGAGAUUGAGCAAUAACA